UAAUGUAUGGGGAUCUGCCCGAUAGAGGGGGAUAACUACUGGAAACGGUGGCUAAUACCGCAUAAUGUCUACGGACCAAAGCAGGGGCUCUUCGGACCUUGCACUAUCGGAUGAACCCAUAUGGGAUUAGCUAGUAGGUGGGGUAAAGGCUCACCUAGGCGACGAUCUCUAGAUGGUCUGAGAGGAUGAUCAGCCACACUGGGACUGAGACACGGCCCAG
rnacentral:rRNA from 1 species